UCCUCAGCUUCAGCACUAUUGACAUUGGA
rnacentral:piRNA from 1 species